AGCAACAAAUGCCCUGCUUCCAGGAAAAGCCUCUAAGCCUCAGGUAACAUCAAAUCGUACCCCAAACCGACACAGGUGGUCAGGUAGAGAAUACCAAGGCGCUUGAGAGAACUCGGGUGAAGGAACUAGGCAAAAUGGUGCCGUAACUUCGGGAGAAGGCACGCUGACACGUAGGUGAAGUGGUUUACCCAUGGAGCUGAAGUCAGUCGAAGAUACCAGCUGGCUGCAACUGUUUAUUAAAAACACAGCACUGUGCAAACACGAAAGUGGACGUAUACGGUGUGACGCCUGCCCGGUGCCGGAAGGUUAAUUGAUGGGGUCAGCGCAAGCGAAGCUCCUGAUCGAAGCCCCGGUAAACGGCGGCCGUAACUAUAACGGUCCUAAGGUAGCGAAAUUCCUUGUCGGGUAAGUUCCGACCUGCACGAAUGGCGUAAUGAUGGCCAGGCUGUCUCCACCCGGGACUCAGUGAAAUUGAACUCGCUGUGAAGAUGCAGUGUACCCGCGGCAAGACGGAAAGACCCCGUGAACCUUUACUAUAGCUUGACACUGAACACUGGUCCUUGAUGUGCAGGAUAGGUGGGAGGCUUUGAAGUGUGGACGCCAGUCUGCAUGGAGCCAUCCUUGAAAUACCACCCUUUAAUGGCUGGUGUUCUAACGUGGGCCCCUGACCGGGGUUGCGGACAGUGUCUGGUGGGUAGUUUGACUGGGGCGGUCUCCUCCUAAAGAGUAACGGAGGAGCACGAAGGUUGGCUAAUCCUGGUCGGACAUCAGGAGGUUAGUGCAAUGGCAUAAGCCAGCUUGACUGCGAGCGUGACGGCGCGAGCAGGUGCGAAAGCAGGUCAUAGUGAUCCGGUGGUUCUGAAUGGAAGGGCCAUCGCUCAACGGAUAAAAGGUACUCCGGGGAUAACAGGCUGAUACCGCCCAAGAGUUCAUAUCGACGGCGGUGUUUGGCACCUCGAUGUCGGCUCAUCACAUCCUGGGGCUGAAGUAGGUCCCAAGGGUAUGGCUGUUCGCCAUUUAAAGUGGUACGCGAGCUGGGUUUAGAACGUCGUGAGACAGUUCGGUCCCUAUCUGCCGUGGGCGCUGGAAGAUUGAGGGGGGCUGCUCCUAGUACGAGAGGACCGGAGUGGACGCAUCACUGGUGUUCGGGUUGUCAUGCCAAUGGCACUGCCCGGUAGCUACAUGCGGAAGAGAUAAGUGCUGAAAGCAUCUAAGCACGAAACUUGCCCC
rnacentral:rRNA from 1 species